AAAAGCUCGGUUGGUGUCAUGAGAAGAAACAAGGUAGAUAUGGCUGGUUCGGGCUAUCUCAAGCGCAUGGGAGCUCUACAAGCUAUGGUGAUCUUCGUACUUUGUUGCUUCUCAAGCUUAGCAAGAUCUGUGACCCAGACGAAGGAAGAGCUUUACAUUAACCAUAUCUCCGCCACCUCACAAGGAAUAGAAGAACUGAGACCUCUGCCUCCACACAUGAGAUUUCCGAUGCUGCCAAGAGGCAUACCUAUCCCUCCAUCCGGGCCUUCCAAAAGUAGCCCACCUGAGGGUCCACCCGCACGCAUAAGAUUUCCGAUGCUGCCAAGAGGCGUACCUAUCCCUCCAUCCGGGCCUUCCAAAGGUAGCCCACCUAAGGGUCCACCCGCACGCAUGAAAUUUCCGAUGCUACCAAGAGGCGUGCCCAUCCCUCCAUCCGGGCCUUCCAAAGGUAGCCCACCUGAGGGUCNNNNNNNNNNNNNNNNNNNNGGUCCACCCGCACGCAUGAGAUUUCCGAUGUUGCCAAGAGGCGUGCCCAUCCCUCCAUCCGGGCCUUUCAAAGGUAGCCCACCCGAAGGUCCACCCGCACGCAUGAGAUUUCCGAUGCUGCCAAGAGGCGUGCCCAUCCCUCCAUCCGGGCCUUCCAAAGGUAGCCCACCCGAGGGUCCACCCGCACGCAUGAGAUUUCCGAUGCUGCCAAGAGGCACACCCAUCCCUCCAUCCGGGCCUUCCAAAGGUAGCCCACCUAAGGGUCCACCCGCACGGGCCUUCCGCAAAUAGCCCAUCCGAGGGUCCUGAUCCCAUCGCCUUGGUGCGUGUACCAAGGAGGCCUUCUUUUCAUCCCUAAACGUCAUGGAGUCGGCCUCCUUCCAUUGCAUCCAGCAUAAUAAGAUUUGCUAUGUCACUAACGGGGGGCCAACCCAAAAUAAGUUUUCAAGAAUGCAUUAAUAUAAAUAAAAGGUCAUAUUCUUAAUAUAUUGUCAUGGCCGUGAUCCAUU
rnacentral:lncRNA from 1 species